rnacentral:rRNA from 1 species
UGGGGAAUUUUGGACAAUGGGGGAAACCCUGAUCCAGCCAUCCCGCGUGUGCGAUGAAGGCCUUCGGGUUGUAAAGCACUUUUGGCAGGAAAGAAACGUCAUGGGUUAAUACCCCGUGAAACUGACGGUACCUGCAGAAUAAGCACCGGCUAACUACGUGCCAGCAGCCGCGGUAAUACGUAGGGUGCAAGCGUUAAUCGGAAUUACUGGGCGUAAAGCGUGCGCAGGCGGUUCGGAAAGAAAGAUGUGAAAUCCCAGAGCUCAACUUUGGAACUGCCUUUUUAACUCCCGGGCUAGAGUGUGUCAGAGGGAGGUGGAAUUCCGCGUGUAGCAGUGAAAUGCGUAGAUAUGCGGAGGAACACCGAUGGCGAAGGCAGCCUCCUGGGAUAACACUGACGCUCAUGCACGAAAGCGUGGGGAGCAAACAGG